ACGUAAGGGGCAAGCGUUGUCCGGACUCACUGGGCGUAAAGCGCGCGUAGGCGGUUUGGUCAGUCGGGUGUGAAAUCCUCGGGCUCAACCCGGGAACUGCGCCCGAUACUGCCAUACUGGAGGGACGGAGAGGUACACGGAAUUCCCGGUGUAGGGGUGAAAUCCAUAGAGAUCGGGAGGAACACCAAUGGCGAAGGCAGUGUACUGGACGUCACCUGACGCUGAGGUGCGAAAGCGUGGGGAGCGAACGGGA
rnacentral:rRNA from 1 species